rnacentral:rRNA from 1 species
UACGUAGGGGGCAAGCGUUGUCCGGAUUCAUUGGGCGUAAAGAGCGUGUAGGCGGCCAAACAGGUCCGUUGUGAAAACUGGAGGCUCAACCUCCAGACGUCGACGGAAACCGUAUGGCUAGAGUCCGGAAGAGGAGAGUGGAAUUCCUGGUGUAGCGGUGAAAUGCGCAGAUAUCAGGAAGAACACCUAUGGCGAAGGCAGCUCUCUGGGACGGUACUGACGCUGAGACGCGAAAGCGUGGGGAGCGAACAGG